GACGAACGCUGGCGGCGUGCUUAACACAUGCCAGUCGAACGGAAAGGCCCUGCUUUUGUGGGGUGCUCGAGUGGCGAACGGGUGAGUAACACGUGAGUAACCUGCCCUUGACUUUUGGAUAACUUCAGGAAACUGGGGCUAAUACCGGAUAGGAGCUCCUGCUGCAUGGUGGGGGUUGGAAAGUUUCGGCGGUUGGGGAUGGACUCGCGGCUUAUCAGCUUGUUGGUGGGGUAGUGGCUUACCAAGGCUUUGACGGGUAGCCGGCCUGAGAGGGUGACCGGCCACAUUGGGACUGAGAUACGGCCAAGACUCCUACGGGAGGCAGCAGUGGGGAAUAUUGCACAAUGGGCGGAAGCCUGAUGCAGCAACGCCGCGUGCGGGAUGACGGCCUUCGGGUUGUAAACCGCUUUCGCCUGUGACGAAGCGUGAGUGACGGUAAUGGGUAAAGAAGCACCGGCUAACUACGUG
rnacentral:rRNA from 1 species